rnacentral:sRNA from 1 species
UCCGGGGAAGGUGAGAACCUUCGACAAGGUUCGAGUCGAGCAACGCGAGACAACGUUGCCGCAGGCAACGGCCCGUAGGGCGAGCCGCAACGCGGCGAGUCAUCCUUCCCCCACCACCA